CUGACGACCGGCGCACGGGUGCGUAACGCGUAUGCAAUCUACCUUUUGCUAAGGGAUAGCCCAGAGAAAUUUGGAUUAAUACCUUAUAGUAUGAUGACUUGGCAUCAAGAUAUCAUUAAAGAUUACGGCAAAAGAUGAGCAUGCGUUCUAUUAGCUAGUUGGUGUGGUAACGGCAUACCAAGGCAACGAUAGAUAGGGGUCCUGAGAGGGAGAUCCCCCACACUGGUACUGAGACACGGACCAGACUCCUACGGGAGGCAGCAGUGAGGAAUAUUGGACAAUGGAGGCAACUCUGAUCCAGCCAUGCCGCGUGCAGGAAGACUGCCCUAUGGGUUGUAAACUGCUUUUAUACAGGAAGAAACACCUCUACGUGUAGAGAUUUGACGGUACUGUAAGAAUAAGGAUCGGCUAACUCCGUGCCAGCAGCCGCGGUAAUACGGAGGAUCCAAGCGUUAUCCGGAAUCAUUGGGUUUAAAGGGUCCGUAGGUGGGCAAUUAAGUCAGAGGUGAAAUCCUGCAGCUUAACUGUAGAAUUGCCUUUGAUACUGGUUGUCUUGAGUUAUUAUGAAGUGGUUAGAAUAUGUAGUGUAGCGGUGAAAUGCAUAGAUAUUACAUAGAAUACC
rnacentral:rRNA from 1 species